rnacentral:rRNA from 1 species
GACGAACGCUGGCGGCGUGCUUAACACAUGCAAGUCGAACGGAAAGGCCCUGCUUGCAGGGUACUCGAGUGGCGAACGGGUGAGUAACACGUGGGUGAUCUGCCCUGCACUUCGGGAUAAGCCUGGGAAACUGGGUCUAAUACCGGAUAGGAGCCAUUUUUAGUGUGAUGGUUGGAAAGUUUUUUCGGUGUAGGAUGAGCUCGCGGCCUAUCAGCUUGUUGGUGGGGUAAUGGCCUACCAAGGCGGCGACGGGUAGCCGGCCUGAGAGGGUGGACGGCCACAUUGGGACUGAGAUACGGCCCAGACGCCUACGGGAGGGAGCAGUGGGGAAUAUUGCACAAUGGGCGCAAGCCUGAUGCAGCGACGCCGCGUGGGGGAUGACGGUCUUCGGGUUGUAAACUCCUUUCGCUAGGGACGAAGCUUUUUGUGACGGUACCUAGAUAAGAAGCCCCGGCUAACUACGUG